UGGGGAAUAUUGCACAAUGGGGGAAACCCUGAUGCAGCGACGCCGCGUGAGUGAAGAAGUAUUUCGGUAUGUAAAGCUCUAUCAGCAGGGACGAUAAUGACGGUACCUGACUAAGAAGCCCCGGCUAACUACGUGCCAGCAGCCGCGGUAAUACGUAGGGGGCAAGCGUUAUCCGGAUUUACUGGGUGUAAAGGGAGCGUAGACGGCUAUAUAAGUCAGAUGUGAAAGCCCAGGGCUCAACCCUGGGACUGCAUUUGAAACUAUGUAGCUAGAGUGCAGGAGAGGUAAGUGGAAUUCCUAGUGUAGCGGUGAAAUGCGUAGAUAUUAGGAGGAACACCAGUGGCGAAGGCGACUUACUGGACUGUAACUGACGUUGAGGCUCGAAAGCGUGGGGAGCAAACA
rnacentral:rRNA from 1 species